ensembl:lncRNA
GUGGGGAACUGAAGAUGUGGAAGCUUUGUGCAAGUGGAUCCUAUUUCAGAAAGCCCUAGUGUGCUUUCAGAGUGCUGCAUGCCUUGGAAAGUAAAGCUCUUUAUCAAAGUUUUCUAUCUAGAUUUGCAAAAGUUGGGCAUUCCUAACUUACAGAAAGAGUUACUUUUUUUCUGCAUAUUUUUCAGAUCUUAUAAACGUUUGAAAUAAAACCAGUUUUAAACCAUACUUUCCAGGGUUGUUUUUUUUCCUUUAAAAAUUGGAAGUGUCAGUGGUAAUUCUUUUUCGAUGGAAGACAUUGAAAGGAUAAAGAGAUGUAAAAGGAACACUUUGGAACUUCCAAUUUCACAACUGUAAGUCCACAGCCUUGGGUUAAAUUCUUUAAAUGCUGAGUUAUGGAUUGUUUUUUUUCCUCUCUCUGAAAUCAGCCAUCCCAACUAUUUUAGCUGAAGUCUGUUGGAUAGAAAACUCGUUAUGACUUUCAUGCCUGAGCAAUGACUCAGUCUGCUAUCAGAAGAAUGUAGUGCGUCACACCACCAUCUAGUGUUAGCUGGAUGAACUUUUGGGUCACCUGUAGAUAAGUUAUGUACAGCUUCUGCAGAACUCUUGGAACAGAGCAAGAAGUUAUUUAGUAAGAAACAGUAAUAACUACAUUAUCUGAUGAAUUCUUUUAGGUUUAGAAAGCCAGUGUAACGUGUUUUACAACGGACCAAGGCCUGAAGAACCUGGAGUGCAAUUAAGGAGGGUCUAGAGUUCUGCUGCUUUGCAUGAGAGACUUCUUAUCUAUUCUCUGUACUCAGAGUGAAAUCUAUCAGUUACUUGCAGGCUGCUGCAGACUGGGAGGACUUGGCCUGGAUGGAACUGCUUAAAGGUCAAAUUUGUAUCUGUGUUAGUUAUGCCAGACACAGAAGCUGGAUGUUUGUGUUCUUAAUUGUAUUUUCCUGUGCCUUUAGUGAUAGCCGUGACACUGCAGAGGAAAGACGUUGCUUAGCUGUUUCCAUUCCCUCCCCUUCCCUUGUUUCCUUCUCUUAAUAGUCAAUAUGUUUUUGACAGUUCGUCUGAGUUUGAGCUGGGAGGUGUACUCCAUGUACGCUAAUUCCUAGUCUUUGUUUUUGUGCUACAUUAAUUUUUGACCACAUUAAUCACAAGGAAAUGACCCACCACUUAUAUUCUCACCUCUCUCUUUGGUCUCUGAAAAGAGAAAGAGAUGCUGCUUUAAACACAGGUGGUAACAGCUCUGUGGG